AACCCCUUUUCUUUCCCCAAUCCCGAACCUCUCCUCACGCCGUUCUCUUCUCUUCUCCCUCACUUGCCGAUUUCCCUUCUCUACGCGAAGCCAGGUCACCGCCGACCGCCUCAAGUUGACCACCGCUGAUCGACGCUGUGCUACUCGUCGCUGGUGAAGCUCCACAGCAUCGGUCAACAUCGCAACUUCUAGGGCGGCCAAUCAUUGUGCCCUAGCUGCAGUCGCCUCGUGCCCUAGACGUGGGCGUUCACUCGUGCGAGCCCCGAUCAUCUUCUCUUCACCGACAUCGCAACCCUCCUUUCUCUCGAACUUGUGGGUGUCGAUCGCUCCUCAUCAUCAGAUCUUGGACCAGGGAGGUCCAAUGCCAUCUCCUUCCACCGGAGCAUUUUCUACCCUUCUCGGAGCCCUACCCUAGUCUGGGUCAGCACCACGUUGUCCUAUAUCGACGGUGUCACCCUUCCUUUUGCCUUUACUCAUGAUUCCAGCAGCAACUUCUUCAGCCAGGUGUCUACAAAGGUGUCACUGGAAUUGGGGGUGUUGGAUUGCAAAUCCUUAGCUUUGGCGACCCCUGUGGUGUGGAGGAUUGCUGCUCGGAUUCACCACUAGAUAGGUCACCUAUUCUAGCAGAGGACAACAACUCUUGUUUUUCACAGUUGCGUUUGGAGGGGAAGUUGCUGUAGAUCUAGUUUGGGGUAGCAGGUAAAGGAUUUAUGGAGUCACCUGAGAUCCUGUCCGCUAGUCCCGUGUCACACCGAGCUACUCCUACCGUUAGUGUUUCCGUUCGCAUAUUUGGUUUUGCACUUGUUCUCGUAUUUGUAUAUUUUAUAUGGAGUUUGUCUUGUAUUUGAUGUGUCGUUUAUGUGUCAAGCCGGGUCGGCUCACAGUUAGUUGUUCUGUUGUUUUAUGUUCCUUAUGUUGUGAUUUCCGCUUUGUUAUGUUUCAGCCAUGUGGGUUGCAUAUUAAAAUCUGCGUGGUUGUGUUAUUUGUUCAGCAUGUGGGCUGUUAUAUACUAUUAAUGAGUAUGUCUGUGGUUAUAUGCAUUUA